UUUAGAAGUAAUUUUUAUUUAGAAUUAUUAAUAGUUAAGUUCUUUAAAAUUAAAGAUUUUGGCGGUAUUUUAGUCUUUUCAGAGGAACCUGUUCUAUAAUUGAUAAUCCACGAUAAAUUAAACUUUAUUUAAUUAAUUUGUAUAACGUCGUCAAAGAAUAUUUUAUUAGAAUUUAAUAUUCAAUAUUUAUUAUAAUAAUAAAAAUCAGAUCAUGUUGCAGUUUAUAAUAAAGAAGAAAUGGGUUACAAUAUAAUUUAUAUAAAUGAAUUAUUAAUUGAAAAUUGAUAUGAAAGUGGAUUUGAAAGUAAUUAAAAAUAUUUUUUUUUAAUGAUUAAAGCUCUAAAAUAUGU
rnacentral:rRNA from 1 species